CCGGAAGCGGCGCCCCGGAAGCGCCGCGGUGACCCCGGCACGUGAGGAGGGCCCGGAUCGGGGGCUGUAAAUCCCACCGGGAAUGGGGAAUGGGGAAUGGCACGGGCACCGCCGUGGGCACUGCACGGCUGGGCGGCCCUUCCAGCAGGGAAUGUCCCGGUGCCCCAGCGGGCCCGCCCCUCAGGCCGUUCCCUCCUGUCCUGUCCCCGUUCCCUGCGACCAGAGCCCGGAUCCGCCGCGCUCCGAUCCCGUUUGGCCUCCAGAGGCCUUGAUGCUCCCGAAUUCCCAAAUUUAGCAUGGGAAUCCUCACGUUUUCCACCAGAAAGUCUCUCAGAUCUGAUCCCGACUCUGGGUUGUUUCACAGCCUUGCCUGAGGCCUGAGUUCAUGUUCCCCGCUGCCCUCACGUCCCUCCCUGCCCGCUCCUGGAUGAGCCUCCUCUGGAUUUCCCUCUUUCCUUGGAUAAAUUUCCCGACGGUUCUGUAUCUCCCGUGUGCAGCUUCUCCACGAUUCCCUUCCCACCAACCCCGUGUACGGAGUCUCCAUCUUUCCCCUGGAAUUCCCUAUGGGAUUCCUCUGUCCUGCCUGGACCCUUCACAUCUGUGCCACCAGAAGGCAGAAAUCUGGAAUGAAUGAAAUUCCAUCACAUCCCAGGCAUCCUCAGGAGUGGCCAGGACUAACUGCUCAUCACUAAACAGACACAACGAGUCUGGUUUGGUUCAAUAACCAUCCCAGAACCUGGAAUUGUGGGUGGGGGUUGCUGCAGCAACAGGAGCAGGAUCUGGAAUUGUUGAUGAUGAAAGUUUGGAUGAUCCUUAAAUCCCCUCAGCCCAGGCCAUUCCAGGACUCCAUGAGAGCGGUGCAGGAAGAACAGGACGGCCAGGACAGAAUUUUAGGGAGAAAUUCAAUCCAGCUGAUCCCUUAUCCAGAACUUUGGCCCUUUCCUCCCCCUGUGUCCGGCAGCUCCGGCUCUGAUUGACCUUUCCGGGGUCAAUGUCCAGGCAGGGGCAGCGGCCGCGGCUCGGGGACAGCCGGGGUGACACCAUGAGGCUGUGGCUGCUCUGCGCUGUCACCGUGGCCGUGGCCGGAGUGGCGGGAGCAGGAGGUGACCGCGGUGACUCCGGGAUGGCAGCCCGCGGGAGAGAGGGCCGGCGGCGGCCGCACAGACCCUGCUCCGGCUGCUUCUCCGUGCUCAGCGAGGAAUCGCAGUCCGUGCCCUGGAAUUCCCGUGAGGAGGAUGCGGCUCAGCCGGGCAGGCGGGCACGGAGCGGGAAGGGUCUGGAGGGCAGAGCCAGGAGGGAGAGCCCGGAGCCGGCGCAGCCCGUGGGACACCCCAGGCACAUUCCGCUGCUGUGACAGGUGACAACGGAGCCCCGGCAGGACCCCGGGCCUGGCGGGGCCCCCCCGGCAGCUCCCGCGGGGCGUUGUAGGAGUCACCGAGCACCGAGAGCGCGGCGGGAGCGAUGCCGGAGCCUGGGAAUGCUGCUGGACACCGGGAGCAGCUCCACGGCAGCAGAGAGCUCAGCCACACACUGCCUGCUGUGAGCUGAGCCCCCCGCCCUUCCCACCCCCAAAAUGCUUCUGGGGCAGCUGCCCCCACUUUGCCAAGCCCCCGAAUAAAGCUGGUACACCGGAGGGAGUGAGUGGAUGCGUUUGGGGGGACGCACCC
ensembl:lncRNA